UACGGAGGGUGCAAGCGUUAUCCGGAUUCACUGGGUUUAAAGGGUGCGUAGGAGGGCAGUUAAGUCAGUGGUGAAAUCCCCGAGCUUAACUUGGGAACUGCCGUUGAUACUAUCUGUCUUGAAUACCGUGGAGGUGAGCGGAAUAUGUCAUGUAGCGGUGAAAUGCUUAGAUAUGACAUAGAACACCAAUUGCGAAGGCAGCUCGCUACACGAAUAUUGACUCUGAGGCACGAAAGCGUGGGGAUCAAACAGG
rnacentral:rRNA from 1 species